AUUGAACGCUGGCGGAAUGCCUUACACAUGCAAGUCGAACGGCAGCACGGACUUCGGUCUGGUGGCGAGUGGCGAACGGGUGAGUAAUAUAUCGGAACGUGCCCAGUCGUGGGGGAUAACGUAGUGAAAAUUACGCUAAUACCGCAUACGAUCUACGGAUGAAAGCGGGGGAUCGCAAGACCUCGCGCGAUUGGAGCGGCCGAUAUCAGAUUAGGUAGUUGGUGAGGUAAAGGCUCACCAAGCCAACGAUCUGUAGCUGGUCUGAGAGGACGACCGGCCGCACUGGAACUGGGACACGGUCCAGACUCCUACGGGAGGAAGCAGUGGGGAAUUUGGGACAAUGGACGCAAGUCUGAUCCAGCCAUGCCGCGUGCAGGACGAAGGCCUUCGGGUUGUAAACUGCUUUUGUACAGAACGAAAAGGUCUCUAUUAAUACUAGGGGCUCAUGACGGUACUGUAAGAAUAAGCACCGGCUAACUACGUGCCAGCAGCCGCAGUAAAAC
rnacentral:rRNA from 1 species